rnacentral:rRNA from 1 species
CCUACGGGAGGCUGCAGUGGGGGAUAUUGCACAAUGGGGGGAACCCUGAUGCAGCGACGCCGCGUGGGUGAAGAAGCGCCUCGGCGCGUAAAGCCCUGUCAGCAGGGAAGAAAAUGACGGUAACUGAAGAAGAAGCCCCGGCUAACUACGUGCCAGCAGCCGCGGGAAUACGUAGGGGGCAAGCGUUAUCCGGAUUUACUGGGUGUAAAGGGGGCGCGGAGGGCGAUGCAGGCCAGGAGUGAAAGCCCGGGGCCCAACCCCGGGACUGCUCUUGGAACUGCGUGGCUGGAGUGCAGGAGGGGCAGGCGGAAUUCCUGGUGUAGCGGUGAAAUGCGUAGAUAUCAGGAGGAACACCGGUGGCGAAGGCGGCCUGCUGGACUGCAACUGACGUUGAGGCCCGAAAGCGUGGGGAGCAAACAGGAUUAGAUACCCUUGUAGUC